rnacentral:rRNA from 1 species
GACGAACGCUGGCGGCGUGCUUAACACAUGCAAGUCGAACGAAGAGCGAUGGAAGCUUGCUUCUAUCAAUCUUAGUGGCGAACGGGUGAGUAACGCGUAAUCAACCUGCCCUUCAGAGGGGGACAACAGUUGGAAACGACUGCUAAUACCGCAUACGAUCUGACCUCGGCAUCGAGGAUAGAUGAAAGGUGGCCUCUAUUUAUAAGCUAUCACUGAAGGAGGGGAUUGCGUCUGAUUAGCUAGAUGGAGGGGUAACGGCUCACCAAGGCGAUGAUCAGUAGCCGGUCUGAGAGGAUGAACGGCCACAUUGGGACUGAGACACGGCCCAGACUCCUACGGGAGGCAGCAGUGGGGAAUCUUCCGCAAUGGACGAAAGUCUGACGGAGCAACGCCGCGUGAGUGAUGACGGCCUUCGGGUUGUAAAGCUCUGUUAAUCGGGACGAAAGGCCUUCUUGCGAAUAGUUAGAAGGA